rnacentral:misc_RNA from 1 species
UUGAUAAAAGCAGUUACUUCCAUGUUCAUCUGUCCAAUUACAACCAACAUUAGAUAUGCUGAUGAAACUGGCAACACCAUUCCAUUCCUUAAAAGAAUAAUUCUGAACAGAAUUAAUUCCUCAAUUAUCUUGCAGGAAGUUAAACAUUGACUAAUAUCUUGAGGCUUCAAACAUAAAAGAACUAUAUUUUCCUCUAAAAUACAGUUCUACAAGAUACCAGAGAAUGAAUUUGGAAAACCACAUAUUUUACAUUUCAAGCUAAAAUCUCAUUUGCUUCUGUACCCAAUAAAUGAGUAUAUGAUAUAGGCAUGUUUGAGAAAGAUGAUUUGAACGAGUUUUUCCCCUGAAAGUAGGCAAAUUAUGAUGAAUGAUAACUAAAGAGCAUUGGAAAAGAAAGAUAAAAUAAGGAGAAAUAAAGUAGUUUAUUCACCUACAUUUAAGUUUUUAUUUUGCUGAGAAAGGAAAUUUCUAGGACAACUGAAGAGAGCUUACUCCAAAGAUUAUGGCUUGGUUCAGCAUAUCCUUAUGCAGUUUAGCUCCAUUGCCGCAAUUAUUGAAAUCUUCCAAUGUCCAGCAAACCAAAGCUCUUUUAUGUCACUUUACAUUAUUAUAGCAAAGCUAGCCUCUGUUCAUCCUGUCGAAGCCUUCUCAUUCUUCAUUAUCAUAUGGAAUGACUUAACACGGUCCUCCUCCACCAUCUCUCUUAGGACAUCAUCUUCAAUCUUCUCUGCUUGCCAGCGAGAAGGAUCCUCCACAAAUGCUUCACUGAAUAUCAUACUAGACACCCAUUCUUUCCAUGUUGUUCUCCUAUACUUGUCUUCUUCAAGAGUGCCAGUUGCCAGGAGCUGAUACACAUAGACCACCUUUUGUUGACCUGGCCUGAAGGCCCUUGCAAUAGCCUGCUUUGUCUUGGAAGGAUUCCACUCUGAGUCCAAUAGAAUUACCCGUGACGCCGCUGUCAAGCUAAUGCCUUCAGCACAAGCUGUAAUUGAUGCAAGAAGCACUCUUGAAGCACCACCAGGUUCCUCAAACUUAUCCAUCACUCUUCCUCUUUCAAAAAGCUCUAGAUCCCCUGUCAGGACCAUAAUUUCUCUACCCUUCUGCCACCUAAAGACGUUCUCAAACAAUUCAACAAAUAAAUUAAUAGGUGCAAUGUUGUGGCAAAAGAUCAGAACCUUCUCCUUCUUGACUAUACGAUACACAAGAUUCAAGACAAACAUCACUUUGGAUGCCUUUUUGAAAUCAAACUUCAUCCUCUCCAGCUGCACCAAUUCUGCCCAAGUAAAAAAUCUGUUAACACAAUUAGAAGUUUUGACCAGCCAAGGAUGUAUUGAUGCAAGAGUUAUCAAAAGCUCUAAUUCCAGUGGAUAUCCAGGGUAUGUAGCCAUAAUUUUGUGGAGCUUCACCAAAAUCUCAUUUUGUAUAUCUGUUGAAUUCAUCAAUAUGGUGUAUAUCUGUAAACCAGGAAGUCCAUCAGAAGGUCCACCUUCAUACACGUCGAUAAACCCACUUGUGAUGUUCCUCAGCAUAUUUAUGCCCUGCAUUCUUUCUUCACUCACAUUCGAAUCAAUCUUCCUUGCGAUGUUAUCUAAGAAGAAUUUUCUUGCUCGGGCUUCUAACAAAUGGCGUGCUUUCUCCUCUCCUUUCUUUUUUCUCUUGAACUUUGGGUCUAAUUCCUUCAAAACUUCUCUUAUGAACUUUGGUCUUGCCAGGCAAAGGGUAUUGAAAUAUUCACAGAAAUUAUUCUGAAACAAAGUACCUGAAAGCAGUAUCCUAAGAUCAGUUUGGACUUUCAUCAAAACCUUCCUUAACCUUGAUUUGGUACUCCUAGGGUUGUGCCCUUCAUCUAGUACUAAGAGUCCUGGACUUUCACGCAACACUUUAGCCAUAUAUUUUCUGUGAGCAAACUUUGAGUCUUCUCGCAUUAAUGUCAGAAAUGAGGUAUAACCCAUGACAAGAACACUUGGUUGCGCAUGCCACUUUUGAAUUUUCUCCAAGCAAUCCAAAACAUGCCUGACAUCUUGACUGGGUUUUGGACCUCCUCGAAAUGUCACUAUAUUCUGCCUAAAGAGAGUAUAUGUUCUGCGACCAUGAAUUAGAUGAACUGGUAUAGGAAUUUGCCACUUAAUAAAUUCUUUAUACCAAGUAUAGAGUGUUGUUUUUGGAGCAAGGACCAAAGGCCGUUUUCCUGGAAACAGCUUCAAGUAACUAGAUAGGAAUGCAAUAAUGAGAAAAGUUUUUCCAGCUCCAGGUGUAUGAGAAACAACACAUCCACCUAUCUUCUUGGAUCGUUUUUCAAUUUGUGCUGGAAUUAAAGACCCGGCAAUAUUUUUCCACAAGAACUCAAAAGCUUUUUUCUGGUGCAAGUGCAAUUUCAUCCUAAGCUCAGGUAUUAAGGCCCACACAUUAUCAUUCUCUUCUGAUAAAGAAAUUUCUUCAUUGGAAAUGCAAUUACUGAAAAGAUUUAAGCCCUCUUCUUCACAUGGAUUCAGCUCUGAAUCUUCUUCAUUGGAUGGCUUAUUUUCAGCAGUCCAGCCUACAUGUUCAACAAAUGGUGCAGAAAAGUGUCUUAUUUCAGUGCUCACGAAGCCACAUGUACGGCAAUAAAUCCCAAUUUCUUCAUCCAGUCUGAAUUCAUGCUGGCAAUAUUCAGUUGAUUUUUGCGUGGUCUCAGUGGGAACUCGAACCUGAGAAUCCUUACACCAAGCUGAAUUAGAGAUAAAGAAGAAAAGUACCAUACAUAUGGAUGUACCUCAUUCUCUUCAAGAAGAUAUGCUGAUGCCAAAGAUAGUUCCAUUUCUCUCCACAACAUUUCAGUUUCAGAUUCUUCUUCCUCCUCUUCAGUUGCUGAUGGUUCUAUUCUCUCACUUUGGACUGUGCGACUUCUCGCUUUAAAUUCUUCCCACUGGUCGAUGACAUGUGUUUCCUCCUUUGACAUGAUUGUUGAAUCAAUAUUCUUCAUGUAAGAUUUGAUUAGUUUACUGUAUGCACCUGCACUUAAGGUUGUCCUCUUAUACGUCAGUGGCUCACCAGAAUCACUCCUCCUAGAAUGAAUAGGACGGUGCCUCCCAUACUGAACUUUGUAUAUAGGUGGUCUUCCUUUCCGUCUUCUUUCAAACACCAUAUCUUCUAUUUCAAAAGAAUUCUUCCUUCUCAUGGAAGAGGAACCUUUUGUGCUGUAAUAACUGACUGAGAUCUCGUUGGUUUCUCGCAAAUAAUUUUCAGGACUCUUGGCAGGGGAAUCAAGUUGUUCAAAGGGUACUGGAUCACUCUCACUGGGCACAGGAACAAUAGCAAGUUCAAUUUGAUGUUCUCUUUGCUUAACCAUACUGGAUUUAGCCUCUCUUGAUUUAUUCUUGAAUCGGGAAAUAGGAGUGUUCUCCAAAGGUUCUACUCCAGAAAAAACUCCCAUUUCUCCCCCAGUUUUCUCUGCAGAAGAACUUGCAUUUGGACCAAACAGAAAUGAUAGUGGCAAGAACAUUUCAUCUUCCUUCAAUUUUUCUGGCUUGUAUGGCAUGGUUCGAACCCAGCCAACAUCUUCCUCAGGAGAAACAUCACAGCCAAGGAAACGGUCAGGUUUGACAUUUCGACGCUUGGAUCGCCGCAAGUUCAUAACAUUAUAAGUUGGUGAUGGUUCAUCUGGAUCAGCUCCAUCCAUGUCAGGAGCAGGAGAAGGCUCAUUGGCAUCAUCAGGAGCGAAUUGGAGCACAACCGGUGUUAAAAUAUCAUUAUCUACUUUGAAAUUUACAGAAUUCAAAUAAUUAUUGGAUUUUAUUGAGUCACAAUCACCAUCACAACCCAAAAUUUCAUAGACAAUUUUAUUUUGAACUGCUCUCACAUCAAAUGCAAUUUGCUUCAAAACAGAUGCCACAACUAGCCAACUAAUGUCAGAGGAAAACUUCCCUAUAAACAAUUUAGUUCUUUGCACACAAGAGCAAUCUUCAGAGGAAUCCCAACGGUAGUACCGACCUUCACAAGGAUUUUUCUGAAGCUUUUGAAGGAUGCAAAUUUGGUCUAUUCCUACUACUUCAAUAUCUUUGCUGAGUGUUCCUUUCUCUGAUCCAAGAGGACCUUGGUUAACAUAGCGUUUAACAAAAAACUGACAUUCACAUUGAGAUUCAUGAGGCUUCCUUUCGAUAGAAUUUAUUUUAGCAUCAGCCCACACCUCUAAAUUUUCCUCAUUUUGAGGAGAUGGAAGCACACAAACAUCAACACCAGGCCUCAAAAAGCAGGUGCAAUCAGAAAUCAUUGCUUGCCUUGACUUUACACGAAUGUUUGAGACAGGACCCUUAUCUUCAAUCACAUGAUAAUUAUCGGCAAAGUGAAUGGUCAUGGCCCCAUCUCUAAUCUCUAUGAGCUCCACAUUCUGCCAUUUGCCACAGUACAAGGCCUCAAAAGGGUGUAUAUUAAUCGGAUGGUUGGAUUCAUGUAAGUGCUUUCUCUUCAUUGUUGACUAGCUAGCAGGCUCAGAAAUAACGGACAUAUAAGGUCACUCACCACUUCACUGAUUCAAAUGGCAAAAAGAUCUUCCCUUCCAUAGACCCACCAGAAAGCCAACACUGAAAAAAAUUUCUGGGGAUCUUAUAAAAAGCAGAAUUCAGGUGAUCCUGAUGACAAAAGAGCCAAAUUCCGGCUAGAUUACCAUCGAGGGCGAGAGGCACUGAGUACUGAAAUGUAGCAGAGAACCUGGAGAAAUGAGCACGCACUCAAAAAGAGAGAGAGAGAGAGAUUAAGAAAGAGACAGUAUAGCGGAGAAUUCUAUAAGCGGUCUGAGAAUCUCGGGGUUCGUGCUGUUGCAUGAGUUAAGAGUAAAUUCAUG